UCCGGUUUGUCACCGGCAGUCCCCCGAGAGUCCUCAGCGUUUUGCAACCUGUUAGCAACACGGGGCGAGGGUUGCGCUCGUUGCGGGACUUAACCCAACAUCUCACGACACGAGCUGACGACAACCAUGCACCACCUGUAUACCGACCUUGCGGGGAGUACAUUUCUGCACUUUUCCGGUAUAUGUCAAGCCUUGGUAAGGUUCUUCGCGUUGCAUCGAAUUAAUCCGCAUGCUCCGCCGCUUGUGCGGGCCCCCGUCAAUUCCUUUGAGUUUUAACCUUGCGGCCGUACUCCCCAGGCGGAGUGCUUAAUGCGUUAGCUGCGACACCGAAGAGCUAGGCUCCCCAACGUCUAGCACACAUCGUUUACAGCGUGGACUAC
rnacentral:misc_RNA from 1 species